GAUGAACGCUGGCGGCGUGCCUAAUACAUGCAAGUCGAGCGAACAGACGAGGAGCUUGCUCCUCUGACGUUAGCGGCGGACGGGUGAGUAACACGUGGAUAACCUACCUAUAAGACUGGGAUAACUUCGGGAAACCGGAGCUAAUACCGGAUAAUAUAUUGAACCGCAUGGUUCAAUAGUGAAAGACGGUUUUGCUGUCACUUAUAGAUGGAUCCGCGCCGCAUUAGCUAGAUGGUAAGGUAACGGCUUACCAAGGCAACGAUGCGUAGCCGACCUGAGAGGGUGGUCGGCCAAACUGGAACGGAGACACGGUCCAGACCCCUACGGGAGGCAGCAGUAGGGAAUCUGCCGAAAGGGGCGAAAGCCUGACGGAGCAACGCCGCGGGAGUGAUGAAGGUCUUCGGAUCGUAAAACUCUUUUAUUAGGAAAGAACAAAUGUGUAAGUAACUAUGCACGUCCUGACGGUACCUAAUCAGAAAGCCACGGCUAACUACGU
rnacentral:rRNA from 1 species